AGCCCAUGAGCUCACACUUUUCCUGCCUCCCCAGGAACCCUAACUCACAGCUGCCUCACCCAAUUCCUCAGACUCCAAGUUAUGUUCUUUUAACUUCAACAGUUUGUGGGCACCAACCGAUAAAGUAACCAGUCCCACCAGAGGGCCGGAGGGACACCGGAGCAGGUCUAGCCAUGAAUGAGUUGAACAAGAGAAAACUGCAAUGGCAUCCAGCCAAAAGCUAUGAACAUACAGGUCAGUUGGAAGAAUGGCGAAUGCGUCGGAGAAACUGUUGCGUUCCUCUUGUUGCUGAGGCCGUGGUACUGCACAAACACCCUGGCCCUGCGGUUCAUCUGGGCCUGGUGACAGAGCAGGAUUCCUGCAUGCACGGGAAACCUUACAGGAAGUGAGAAGACCCAAGGAGCCGUUGGCUGUCACCAGAUUCUACUUCUGUGUCUCUGUGACUAUAUAACUGCUGGCGAAGAGUCCAAGAAUAUAGAAAUGUAGUUUCCAGAGAUAGGAACGUAGAAAUAAAGAAAUAUAAAGUUGGAAACCUGGGAGAAUGAGAGCGGGCUGUCAGCAGCUUAAGGAUUAACUAUUAACAGUGGGUCACUCCGCUUUAUAACCCAUAGCUCUGUCUGCAAGGCUGAAGCGGCCCUCUGCAAACUGAGGGUCAGCUUUUAGAUAACCCCUGACUACUCAUGUCCAGCAACUGAUGUGAGCUGAGUUAACUUUAAAUGAUGGGGUGUACCUGGCUUUUUGGUUGUGCAUUUUCUCAUACCCUUUCCUGCUAGGCAAAGCUGGCAGUAUCAGGGGAGGGUAGAGCUUUGGUAACACCAUCAGGAAGUGCCAGAGAGAAACAAUGGACUAA